AUUGAACGCUGGCGGCAUGCCUUACACAUGCAAGUCGAACGGCAGCACGGAGCUUGCUCUGGUGGCGAGUGGCGAACGGGUGAGUAAUAUAUCGGAACGUACCCUAGAGUGGGGGAUAACGUAGCGAAAGUUACGCUAAUACCGCAUACGAUCUACGGAUGAAAGUGGGGGAUCGCAAGACCUCAUGCUCGUGGAGCGGCCGAUAUCUGAUUAGCUAGUUGGUAGGGUAAAAGCCUACCAAGGCAUCGAUCAGUAGCUGGUCUGAGAGGACGACCAGCCACACUGGAACUGAGACACGGUCCAGACUCCUACGGGAGGCAGCAGUGGGGAAUUUUGGACAAUGGGCGAAAGCCUGAUCCAGCAAUGCCGCGUGAGUGAAGAAGGCCUUCGGGUUGUAAAGCUCUUUUGUCAGGGAAGAAACGGUGAGAGCUAAUAUCUCUUGCUAAUGACGGUACCUGAAGAAUAAGCACCGGCUAACUACGUGCCAGCAGCCGCGGUAAUACGUAGGGUGCAAGCGUUAAUCGGAAUUACUGGGCGUAAAGCGUGCGCAGGCGGUUUUGUAAGUCUGAUGUGAAAUCCCCGGGCUCAACCUGGGAAUUGCAUUGGAGACUGCAAGGCUAGAAUCUGGCAGAGGGGGGUAGAAUUCCACGUGUAGCAGUGAAAUGCGUAGAUAUGUGGAGGAACACCGAUGGCGAAGGCAGCCCCCUGGGUCAAGAUUGACGCUCAUGCACGAAAGCGUGGGGAGCAAACAGGAUUAGAUACCCUGGUAGUCCACGCCCUAAACGAUGUCUACUAGUUGUCGGGUCUUAAUUGACUUGGUAACGCAGCUAACGCGUGAAGUAGACCGCCUGGGGAGUACGGUCGCAAGAUUAAAACUCAAAGGAAUUGACGGGGACCCGCACAAGCGGUGGAUGAUGUGGAUUAAUUCGAUGCAACGCGAAAAACCUUACCUACCCUUGACAUGGCUGGAAUCCCCGAGAGAUUGGGGAGUGCUCGAAAGAGAACCAGUACACAGGUGCUGCAUGGCUGUCGUCAGCUCGUGUCGUGAGAUGUUGGGUUAAGUCCCGCAACGAGCGCAACCCUUGUCAUUAGUUGCUACGAAAGGGCACUCUAAUGAGACUGCCGGUGACAAACCGGAGGAAGGUGGGGAUGACGUCAAGUCCUCAUGGCCCUUAUGGGUAGGGCUUCACACGUCAUACAAUGGUACAUACAGAGCGCCGCUAACCCGCGAGGGGGAGCUAAUCGCAGAAAGUGUAUCGUAGUCCGGAUUGUAGUCUGCAACUCGACUGCAUGAAGUUGGAAUCGCUAGUAAUCGCGGAUCAGCAUGUCGCGGUGAAUACGUUCCCGGGUCU
rnacentral:rRNA from 1 species